AACCGCUAUCCACAUUUCUACCUCUGUGAAUUGGUUUUGGAGCACAGUCUCAAGCUGCGGUAAGAUUGGGUUUACUAGCGUAGAUUACAGUGUUGUCUGCAUACAUGUGUACAGUUGAGGAUUUGCAGACGUUAGGCAGAUCAUUUAUAAAUAAUGUGAAUAGCAGGGGGGCGAGUAUGGAACCUUGGGGAACACCACACGUGGAAGAGGGAGGGAAGUGCUAUCAGAAGUGUCCAUAUAUUGCAAUCGGUUUGAUACAUAUGAUCGAAACCAAGUUAGCGGACGAUCACCAAUACCUGAGUUUUUAAGUUUUUGCAAAUAAAUGCCAUGGUCUACUGUGUCAAAGGCCUUGGCAAAACCAAGGAAAUAGCUCCAGUUAAGUCUCCUUGUUCCAUACCAAUUUGGAUGUCAUUGCAAAUUUUUAAGAGGGCAGUCGAAGUUGAGUGAUUUGGACGAAAGCCUGAUUGAUCAGGGGUCAGAUAAUUUGAUUGUCGAUAAUAUUCACAUAGUUGUGUGUAGACGUAUUUUUCCAAGAUUUUUGACAAUACUGGGAGCAAUGAUAUUGGGCAAUAGUUAGAUACCAAAGUAUUGUCACCACUUUUAUGGAUAGGUAUUACUUUUACAAAUUAAAUUAAAAAAAUGUUUUUUUAAAAAGUUAAAAAUAAUAAAACAUUUCACAUGUUGGGUGCAUAUUACACUUUUUAAAUCUUCCUUUUUUUGUUUUCUUUUUGUCAUCCAAUAUAACAGCUUCCAUUAGAUCAAGUUGUUUUAUUGAGUCCAGUGUUGCUUUAAUAGAAAAGUUAGACCUAUUGCCUGGGGUCUGCAGGGCGCUGUUCCCCACCUCCACCUCUGCUUAGUGAGAGUCGAAUAAGUGUAAUAUGACAUAAGAAUAUCUAGCAAAAACAUUAUGUGAAAACAUUAACAAAAAAAAAAAAUUAUUUCUGUUUUCUUCUGUCUGCUCAGCAGAAUUGCUUACAGGAGAAAUAUGUGCCCAUGUGAAUCUUAACAUUUGGCAGUUAUCAUGGAAUUAAUUAUAAUGUAUUUAUUUUUUUAUAAAAUUGUCAGCACAACUUAAUUACAUAGUUACAUAGCUGAAAAGAGACGUGUCCAUCAAGUUCAGCCUUCCUCACAUAUGUGUUUGCUGUAGAUCCAAAAAAGCGCCUCCAAUUUUGCAACAAACUAGGAAAAAAUUCCUUAUUGACCCCAAAACAGCAAUCAGAUAUCUCCUUGGAUCAAGCAACUAUUACCCCACUAAUUAGAAAUUAUAUCCCUGUAUGUUAUGUUUUUGGAAUUAUUUAUCCAAUUGCUGUUUAAACAUCUGUAUAGACUCUGACAAAACCACCUCUUUAGGCAAAGAAUUCCAUAUCCUUAUUGCUGUUACUGUAAAAAAAAAAAAAAAACUUUUCUUUGCCUUCGAUGAAAUCCCCUUUCUUCCAGAAUAAAUGUGUGACCUUGUGUCCUAUGUAUAGCCCUGUUUAUGAAUAGAUUUCCAGAUAAUGGUUUGUACCGGCCCCAAAUAUAUUUGUAUAAUGUUAUCAUAUCCCCUCUGAGGUGCCGUUUUUCCAAACUAAAGACAUUAAAACAUUUUAACCCUUCUUCGUAACUAAAAUGCUCCAUUCCUUUUUAUCAAUUUUGUAGUUUGUCGCAGCACUUUUUCUAGUGCCAUGAUCUCCUUCUUUAGAACAGGUGCCCAAAAUUACACAGCAUAUUCAAGGUGUGGUCUUACCAGUGAUUUAUAAAGAGGCAAAAUUAUAUUUUCAUCCUGAGAAUUUAUGCCCCUAUUUAUACAUGACAAAACCUUACUGGCCUUAGCAACUGCAGAUUGACAUUGCAUAUUGUUGCCUAAUUUAAACAUAGAAACAUAGAAUGCCUGAGAGCUACAUUGAUUUUUGAUACAGCCUGUUUUAACAGUCAAAGUGUGAGUGAUCCAUUGGCACAUAUCACUAUAAUAAUAGUAUCAUACGGAGUUGCACUAUGUUUUUUUUUUUAUUCCCCUAUAGUUGGAUUGACCCAAUAUUUGUAUCUAUGUUUCAAUGCCUAUUGCAAGAUCAUUGAUAAAUAUGUUAAAUAGAAGCAGUCCCAAAUAGAACCCUGAGGGACACUUUUGUCCAGCCUUAAAAUUUACCAUUAAUGACAACUCCUUGUACUCUAUCCUUAAGCCAUUGUUCUACCCAAGAACAAGAAUAUUCACUUAUACCAAUUUCUUUUAGUUUGAAGACUAACCUAUUGUGAGGAACCAUAUCAAAUGCCUUGGCAAAAUCUAAGUAGAUCACAUCUACUGCAACUCCCUGAUCUAUACUUCUACUUACUUCUUUGUAGAAUGCAAUUAGGUUAGUUUGAUAUGACCUAUGUUUUAUAAAACCAUGCCGAUUAUUGCUAAUAAAGUUUUUCCCAAUGAAUUCCUGAAUAUUAUCCCUUAAUAGACUUUCAAAUAUUUUCCCAGUAACAGAAGUUAAACUUAAAUGUCUAUAAUUUCCAGGCAAGGAUUUUAAACCCUUUUUAAAUAUAGGAACAACAUCUGCCUUCCUCUAAACCUCUGGUCGAAUACCUGAAACAAAAGAAUCUUGAAAGAUUAAAUACAGAGGUUCACUUAUGUCUACACUUGGCUCCUUAAGUACUCGUGGGUGAAUACUGUCAGGCCCCGGAGCUUUAUUUACAUUAAUUCUCUUUAACUGCUCUAGCAACUUGGAGUCAUCCAAUCACAAGUUAUCUGCAAGUUAUUUGCAGCAAUCAUUUGCAUAUAUCUUGCCAUAGGAUCCUCAUUAAUAUAUCCUGAAGAAAAAUAGAUAUUUAAAAUUUCUGCCUUUUCCUGGUCUUCAUUAACUAACAGACCCAUCUCUGUUUCCAGUGUACCUACACUUUCAUUUUUUGUUUUUUUAGAAUUUAUGUACUUGAAAAAAAAUUGGGGGUUGGUUUUGCAUUCUUUGGCUAUCAAUUUCUAAUUUUCUAGUUUAGUCACUUAAAUUGCCUUUUUGCAAGCAUUAAUUGACUUCCUUAUAUCUUAUAUAGGAUGCCUCUGAUUUGUCUGAUUUAAAUGCCAAUUUCUUAUUUUUAAUCUCGUUUUACUUCUCUACUAAGCCACAUUGGUUUCAGUUUGUUUCUUUUAUAUUUAUUACCCAAUGGCACAUACUGAGAAAUGUACCUUUCUAAUAUUUGUUUGAAUAGUUUCCAUUUAUCCUCAGUGUUUUUUUCACUAAGGAGUUUAUGCCAGUCGAUAUGUUGUAGAGCUGCCCUAAUCUUAUUGAAAUUGGUUUUUAUCACUAGCAGGCACACACACAAUCUCACUCACUAGCAGGCACACUAGCAGGCACACACACACGCAAGCUCGCUCACUAGCAGGCACACACAGGGCUGAACUGGGGAUACAAAGCAGCCCUGGAAAAAAAAAAAAUCUAUGCCAGCCCCAUAAGUCAUUGCGCCAUAUAUUAAACAAGAGGGGGUUGGCUGCACUCACCUUAACAUGCAUAAAUGGGGGUGCUGCUGGGGGCCAAAUAAUACAAUACACAAGAUCCAGCGCACUCACCUACCACUAAACAGCAACUUCAAUGUUGAAAGAUUUUAUUUGUUUUUUUUAAAACACCUAAUCUAGGCAAAAAUAAUGGGGGUUUAGUUACAUUAUAUGAUCAUACAGUGCAUAAGCCUGCCACAACGUCAAUGUACCCCAUCUUUGGCAGGUCCUACACUAACAGCCUAAUGUCUGCUCUUAUGAGAUUAACCUACUUGGGGAAAGAAAUUCCAUCUGGGGCUCUCUGCAGUACAAGGCUAAAUAGGGCCCUGGGAUGAGGCACCUGUGACAGGGAGGGGUGCAAAACCAAGGAGUUGGCUGGACUCCCAAAUAUAUAUAAAACAAGAGGGGGUUGGCUGCACUCACCUUAACAUGCAUAAAUGGGGGUGCUGCUGGGGGCCAAAUAAUACAAUACACAAGAUCCAGCGCACUCACCUAUUCACUAAACAGCAACUUCAAUUGUCGCAUGUAAUAUGUAAGGCAAUGUCUUGCCACCCCAGAUGAUUGAGUAAUAUAUAUAUCUAUAUAUCAAAUAUAUAUUGCUUUUUCUAAUACAAAAUAUUGGUCCUUUCAGAGUAAAACAUUUAAUUAUACAGUAAGCAUACCCACAUGCAGACACAGACAAUCUCAUUGACACACACAAGCUCAUUGAUACACAGCCUCAUAGACAAACAAUCUCACUGAUAUACAUAAGCUCAUUGGCAUAAAAACACAAGCUCACUCACUAGCAGGCACACACACACACGCAAGCAAACUCACUAGCAGGCGCACGCACGCGCACGGCUUAAUGUAGUGGUUCUGGUGUCUACAGCCUGUCCCUGCAGGCUUUUCAAUGUAAACACUGACUUUUCAGAGAAAUGGCAGUGUUUAUAUUGCUUCCUAGUGACACCUCUAGUGACAGUCAAUCAGACGGUCACUAGAGGUGCUUCCUGUGUCAGUGCUGCACAGUGUGCAGCACCUACAUUCAGGGCCUCCACGCUCUGGAGGCGCUGAACGUUCCCCAUAGAGAUACAUUGAUUCAAUGCAUCUCUAUGAGUAGAUGCUGAUUGGUGUAGUGUUUUGCAGCCAAUCCUAUAAUUAGAUUGGCUGAGAGCAUCAAGCUUGAUGAUCUCAGCCAUAGAGGCAGGGCCAGUCAAGGUAUACCAACACAGCGAGGGGAGAAAAAAAAGUGAGUAAAAACACUAUUUUUACACACACACAUAUACUAUGACAGACACAUACCAUGAGACACACACACCAUGACAGACAGACGCACAUACACAACACAGACAGACCAUGACACAAACACACACCAUGACAGAGAGACAUACACACAAUGACAAACACACACACACCAUGACACAGACACACCUUGACACAGACACACACACCAUGACACAGACAGACCAUGAAACAGACACACACACAUACACUCACAGUGACAGAAUGACACAUAUUACCUGUGGGCAACCGGCCAGGGGGUCAUGCAGGGCAGACAGCUGGGUGUGCUGGUGGCUGCUGGGGGAGCUCUGACGGCGGCAUACAGGGGGAGCUGCCCAGCGCGCAGCUUAAUGAAACCUCAUUAAGUAGCACGCAAGGGUGGGGGACCAAAGACAGCACAACUCCACCAGCGGCUGCCAUCAGAGAUCCCCCUGCAGCUGCCAGUAACAUAGAAACAUAGAAUGUGACGGCAGAUAAGAACCAUUCUGCCCCAUUUUCUAAAUACUUUUAUUAGUCCCUAGCUUUAUGUUAUAGUUAGGAUAGCCUUAUGCCUAUCCCACGCAUGCUUAAAACCUUUACUGUGUUAACCUCUACCACUUCAGCUGGAAGGCUAUUCCAUGCAUCCACUACCUUCUCAGUAAAGUAAUACUUCCUGAUAUUUUUAAACCUUUGUCCCUCUAAUUUAAGACUAUGUCCUCUUGUUGUGGUAGUUUUUCUUCUUUUAAAUAUAGUCUCCUCCUUUACUGUGUUGAUUCCCUUUAUAUAUUUAAAUGUUUCUAUCAUAUCCCCCCUGUCUCGUCUUUCCUCCAAGCUAUACAUGUUAAGAUCCUUUAACCUUUCCUGGUAAGUUUUAUCCCGCAAUCCAUGAACCAGUUUAGUAACCCUUCUCUGAACCCUCUCUAAGGUAUCAAUAUCCUUCUGAAGAUACGGUCUCCAGUACUGUGUACAAUACUCCAAGUGAGGUCUCACCGUGUUCUGUACAAUGGCAUGAGCACUUCCCUCUUUCUACUGCUAAUACCUCUCCCUAUACAACCAAGCAUUCUGCUAGCAUUUCCUGCUGCUCUAUUACAUUGUCUGCCUACCUUUAAGUCAUCAGAAAUAAUCACCCCUAAAUCCCUUUCCUCAUAUGUUGAGGUUAGGACUCUAUCAAAUAUUCUGUACUCUGCCCUUGGGUUUUUACGUCCAAGAUGCAUUAUCUUGCACUUAUCCACAUUAAAUGUCAGUUGCCACAAUUCUGACCAUUUUUCUAGUUUACCUAAAUCAUUUGCCAUUUGGCUUUUCCCUCCUGGGACAUCAACACUGUUACAUAUCUUAGUAUCAUCAGCAAAAAGACAUACCUUACCAUCAAGACCUUCUGCAAUAUCACUAAUAAAAAUAUUAAAGAGAAUGGGUCCAAGUACAGAUCCCUGAGGUACCCCACUGGUGACAAGUCCAAGCUUCGAAUAUAUUCCAUUAACUACAACCCUCUGUUGCCUGUCACUCAGCCACUGCCUUACCCAUUCAACAAUAUUGAAAUCCAAACUUAAAGAUUGCAGUUUAUUGAUAAGCCUUCUAUGUGCAACAGUGUCAAAAGCCUUACUGAAAUCUAGGUAAGCAAUGUCUACUGCACCACCCUGAUCUAUAAUUUUAGUUACCCAAUCAAAAAAAUCAAUAAGAUUAGUUUGGCAUGAUCUCCCUGAAGUAAACCCAUGUUGUCUCUGAUCUUGAAAUCCAUGUGUUUUUAGAUGUUCAUCAAUCCUAUCCUUUAACAUGGUUUCCAUCACUUUCCCCACUACUGAAGUAAGGCUUACUGGCCUAUAGUUGCCCGACUCCUCCCUAUUACCUUUCUUGUAAAUGGGCACAACAUUCGCUAACUUCCAAUCUUCUGGGACUACUCCUGUUAACAAUGAUUGGUUAAAUAAAUCUGUUAAUGGUUUUGCUAGUACACCACUAAGCUCUUUUAAUAGCUUUGGGUGUAUUCCAUCAGGUCCCAUUGACUUAUUUGUCUUUACUUUUGACAGUUGAAAUAGAACCUCUUCCUCUGUAAACUCACGUGUAAUAAAUGACUCAUUUAUCCUUUUUCUCAACUGAGGUCCCUUUCCUUCAUUUUCAUCUGUAAAUACAGAACAAAAAUAUUCAUUGAGGCAGUCAGCUAGACCUUUAUCAUCUUCUACAUACCUUCCUUCUUUUGUUUUUAAUCUAACUAAUCCUUGUUUUACUUUUCUUUUCUCAUUUAUGUAUCUAAAAAAUGUUUUAUCCCCCUUUUUUACUGACUGUGCUAUUUUCUCUUCUGUGUGUGAUUUUGAAGCUCUUAUAACUUGCUUAGCCUCUUUCUGCCUAAUCGUACAGAUCAUUUUGUUUUCCUUACUCUGGUUUUUUUUUAUAAUUCCUAAAUGCUAACUUUUUGUUUUUAACUAUUUUGGCCACAUCUAUGGAGUACCACAGUGGUUUCUUGAAUUUUGUUGCUUUUACUGACAAGCCUAAUGCAAUUUUCUGUUGCCUUCAAAAGUGCAACUUUUAAAUAAUCCCAUUUCUCUUGGACUCCAUUUAAAUUGCUCCAGCCUGAUAAUGACUCCUCUACCCAUAUUCUAAUUUUAGAAAAGUCUGUAUUUCUAAAGUCUAAAACUUUUGUUUUUGUGUGGUGUGACUCGUCACUGUUCUUAUAUUAAACCACACUGACUGAUAAUCACUGGAUCCUAAACUUUCACCUACAGUAAUAUCUGAUACCAAAUCUCCAUUUGUUAACACUAAAUCUAGUAUGGCCUCUUUACGAGUUGGCUCCUCAACAACUUGUUUUAGAGACAAUCCCAGUAGGGAGUUUAGAAUAUGUGUGCUCCUGGCACAAGUAGCUAAUUUUGUUUUCCAAUUUACAUCAGGAAGAUUAAAGUCACCCAUGAUGAUAACUUCCCCCUUCAUUGUCAUUUUAGCUAUUUCCUCAACUAGUAGAUUAUCUAACUCUUCAAUUUGUCCUGGGGACCUAUAAAUCACACCUACACGAGUUACUGUGUGAUUACCAAAUUCUAACGUAACCCAAACGGACUCUAUGUUUGCCUCACUAACUUUUAUUAGGCUAGAUUUUAUGCUAUCCUUCACAUACAAGGCCACCCCUCCCCCUUUCUUGCCUUCCCUAUCUUUCCUAUAUAAAGAGUACCCUGGUAUUGCUAUGUCCCAGUCAUUUUUCUCAUUGUACCAAGUCUCAGUAACAGCGACUAAAUCUACACUAUCAGUUGCCAUUAUUGCCACAAGUUCAUGGAUCUUAUUCCCUAAACUGUGAGCAUUUGUAGACAUGACUCUAAGCUUAUCAUUUUUUUUAACACACUUGCUACAGGCACCUUCUGUUCUUGUUUUGGGGGACAAUUGGAUUGAUGUUUUAUCGCCCUUUCCCCCCCACCCCCUAGUUUAAAUACAUCCUAGCAAAACCUCUGAACUGCUCACUGAGAAAAAAAAUUCCCUUUUGAGAAAGAUGCAAACCAUCUUUUUUGUACAGCUUACCUCCAUUCAAAACAGAACUACCAUGAGAAAUAAAGCCAAAUCCUUGCUCCCGACACCAUUCACCAAGCCCCAAAUUAAAGUCCCUAAUACGCAUCCGCCUGUCGUUCUGAAUGUUAUGCACAGGCAGAACUUCAGAGAAUGACAGUGUCGAAGCAACCUGCCCUAUAUCAUUGGCAAAAACACUAAAAACGUCCUUAACCUCUGAAACCUCAUUGCAAGCCAAGUCAUUUGUCCCUAGAUGGACAAGUACAUCCAAUUCCCCUUCCUGCUUUGCUUGCUUAACAAUAUUACAGAUAUGUCUCCUGUCUCUGUUAGCAGUAGCUCCGGGAAGACACCUCACAAGACCACCAUUGUCCAUCUCCACACCUCUUAUAAUGGAAUCCCCCAACAACAACUGCUUUCUAGUAGGCCUUACCAUAGUCUCCAAGCCGGUCUCCACAACACCACUAGCCUCAGUGCCUCUCUCCACAACACCACUAGCCUCAGUGCCUCUCUCCACAAUACCACUAGCAUCAGUGCCUCUCUCCACAAUACCAAUAGCCUCAGUGCCUCUCUCCACAACACCACUAGCCUCAGUGCCUCUCUCCACAACACCAUUACACUCUGAAAGUGCUGAAAAUGAAUUAUGAAAAGUAACAGACUGUGCAAAAUGCCUUUUAUCCACAACUCUAAGUCUACCAGAUCCUACAGUAAUCCAUCUGCCAUUCCUAGUACACCUAGGUGUCUGCCUGGCACCAGGUGCCAAAGACCCACCGGGAAAUUUCCCGGUAUCCCAGUGGGCCAGUCCGACCCUGCACACAAGCUCACUCACUAGCAGGCACACACACACACAAGCUUACUCACUAGCAGCCACACACACACAAGCUUACUCAUUAGCAGGUGCACACACACACACACACACACACACACAAGCUCACUCACUAGCAGGCGCACACACACACAAGAUCACUCACUAGCAGGCACACACAUAAUCACUGUCAUGGCUAAAGCUUACCUGGCACUGCUAGGUGAAGUUGCCAUUUUGUGGCUCUUCUUUCCAGCGAGGUCAGCAAUGUGCAUGGAGGCAGGACUUGCAUGUGGGAGGCUGAGCUCUGCUCAGGAGGUGGGGCUUGUGUGCAGGGGUGGGACAUGCAGUCGAAAUUGCUGUCAAUUUUGUAGGGAGACAUGGGACCAUGCCUGCGAUCGGUUAAAUAAGUGACUUCCAGGAAUUUCCUGAACCCCUGAACUGAUCUGGGUAAAUUUUUGGAUAUGUUGGUCACUUUUGGGAAAAGUAUGUUUUUUCUGCUCUUGGAGAUAAUUGGAUUAGAAUUAGUACAGUUACUGAUCCAAUUAUUUCCCAGACAGAGGGGAGGGAUUGUGUGCUAUGUGUGGGAGUGUGGUGAUUUGUAACCUUAUUGUUAUUGGUCUGUGAUGUUGUAAAUCAGUCCACCAUCAGGUCCAUGUGGGCGUACCCCUUGCAUGGGGAUUGUCAUAUAAGGCCAAGUGUGGCACCAUUAAAAUCUGUUCCAGCUUACACUCCAAAACGGUGUGUCAUCCUUUUAUUGCAGGGAAAGAAGAUUUACUCCUGUGUCUGCUGUUCCAACUUGCAGGGGAUUCAAUGGGAAUAUUCCUUGUAAGGACUAGAGCUCCCAGGACUGAGUGUUGUCCUGUGUCUGGGGGUGUCUAGAGCGAAUUCCCCAUUGGGCUCCAGGAAGGAGCAGUUACAGGGUCCCAGUCAAGCCACGGCGACUGUGGGCAGAAGUGCUGCGGUUUGUCGCCUGUUCCAGCUAGGAAGCGGUCCUUGGCGGAGGUAGCCAGCCAGGGGCACAGGGAACUCCGUUACAACUCCCCUCAACUGACACAGGCUGGCCCAGUCCGAGGGGAAAAUCAUUUAAAUUACAAGAGCAUGAUGAUUUGGGCUGUCUGCCCGGCUCCAGGUGCCGCAGCACACCAGGAAAUUCCCCACUAUCCCGGUGGGGCAGUCCGGCCCUGAUAGUGCCAACAUAUUCCACAGCACUUUACAAUUAUAAACUGGGGAUAUUUGACAAGUACUUAACGUAUGGAAAACAACAGGGACAAGAAGUGAUGAGGCUCUGUUCAAAUGAUCUUACAAUCUAUGAGGAAUGGUUAGACACCCAAGAGAAAUAACAGCACGUUGGAGGGGAUAGGGAUUGAUGGAUAAGGUGCCUGUGCUGAAAUAAGAAAGUAAAAGUGGUGCUUGGAAGAACCAAACAGAAAGACAGAGAUUGCGCUGAGCAUGAACAAGUUGUAUCUUUAGUUAGAAAGAGGUGAAUGCUAAUAAUAUUUUUAAGGUGAAAGCUACAGGAUUUGGAGUCAGACUGGAUGUGAGGAGAAAAGGUUAGACCCAAGUUGAAAGUAACACCAAGUUAGCAAGCUUGAGGGGUUGGUGUAAUAGGUGAUGCAGGGAAAUUGAAGGAGGAGGGCUGUUUGGUAUAGGAAAAAUUAGGAGUUCAGUCUUAGAAAGAUUACAUUUUAGAAAACAGAAAGACAAACCCUAAUUUGUAGCUUGUGUUUCACCAGUUAAAAAUUGAGCCAGUCUUAUAGCCCAGUUACCUUUAUGCCAUUGGGCCAGGUUUUCAAAUCUCUCAAAUGCUGUCAGAUAUGCUUUGGGAUCAUCCUUUCGUCCCAUCUUAGGGCACUGGAAAAGGGCUCCUUGGCAGAGCCUUCUGCAUUGACUAGUUCCCUGGGGCACUCCAUAAGCUGAUGCACUAGUUCAUUUUGGAAAUAUUGCUGUAUAGCUGUAUAUUGCUGGAUGGAUUGCAUCUGCUAAGAACAACAUUGGGUGAAAGUAACUCUACCUGCAAUGUAUGUUAUGUGCACUGGUGUGGUGGGCUCCCUUUCCGGCCAGGCCCUCGUACCAUGUCCGAAGUGCCCGACCAGUCAGUCCACCCCUGGCUGCAAUUGUUGAAGUUGGAACUCCUGUUGCCUUUGCGGUUGUUCUGGGAUGCACUUCAAUAGCCUUUGCAAUUCCAUUUUCCUAGUAAAACAAAAAUCCUAGUGUAGACUACCUGCAAUUUGCACACACAAAUUAAGCCCUAGUUACUGCUGCAGCAUGUACUAAUUAGCUAAUUUGCAGUCUUAGGCUGACAAACUCCUGCAAAUUAAAGUGACACUUCAGACACCUAAAGCACUUUAGAAAAUAGCGGUGCCCACAAGGGUCAGGUUCAGGUAAGUAAAUCUCUAAGUCAUGGUCAACUAUGGUAAAAUCCAAAAUCAAGCUUGCUUAUUGCCUGCCAUGUUCAAUCACAGGCUUCCCACCAACACCCCAGUGUAAGAGAAAAGAAACACUAUAGGCACCAGAACCCUUAUAGCUUAAUGUAGUAGUUCUACAUGUCUUUCUAUGCAGUCGCAGAGAAAAGACAGUGUUUACAUUGCUAACACCAUCUCAAAAGACGGUCACUCAAACAGCCAUUAGAGGGGCUUCCUAGUUUUGGUCCUUCAGAUGUCACAGAACCAAUGUCCUGCAUUUCCACACUCUGCCUAUAGAGAUGCAUUGACUCAUUGCACCUCUAUGAGGGGAUCCUGAUUGGUCACAGCAUGGUGAUUGAUGCACAUGCACACUAGCUCCUAAAUGCUUCCCGAUGAGGAAUUAUUGGAGAUAAUUGUAAGGAAACCAAGUAUAUUUAAACCUCAUUCGGUAGUUUCCUCCCGAACCACCAGAGCCUUAGUGAUUAUAGCCCUCCAUUCUGUAGAUAGGGUAGACAAAUCCUAUAGCAAUUCCAAUAGCUUCACAAGAUAAUUCCCUUAGUGAAAAAAACGAAUCCCCAAACAUCAACCAAAGUCAAGAAAAAGGGUACAAAAUGAACUAACUUUUAAUGGGUGCACACAGCUUUUCUGCAAGUCCCCAUGCAAGGGGACAGUCCUCAGGGAGGGACAAACAUUAACCAAUCACAUACAGUAAAACUUUAACACACACCUACAAUUUCCUCCCCUAGCCCAGGAGAUAAUUCAGUCUGAUAAAAUAGUAACUUAAUUAUCUCCGGGCUGAAAAAUCACCUUUUCCCCCCAAUAUCUAGAACACCCCUUUAUACUGGGGGUAUCCCCUGAUAGCCCUGAUCUGGGUGACCAACAUAUCCGAAUUUCACCCAGAUCGGUUCAGGGGUUCGCAAAAUUUAUGGAAGUCUCUUGUGACCGGCUCACCCUGGACUGUAUGCCCAAAACAGUUCCAUGACUUUGGUGGGUUUUGCCGGUCACUUUCGAAAAAGCAUAAAAACGAAUAAAAUACCGAAUGGAUCCCUCUGGCUCCUAGCAGCGUUCGUGCCCCUCUGUCUAAUACACCAAAGUACAGAAUAGCGCACUUCUAGCUAUUUGGUAAAUGGAGUUCCAGCGUUCGUCUGUUUGGGACCGGUGUUCGGGAAGUCAAGUGUCUGUUUUUAGUUCCAUGCACUCGACGACCAGGUCCCGCUGCCUUUGUUCGCAUGAACAAAGAUGGCCGCGGUUUUCUCUGCCACGUGGCGUUCGACUGACAAACGCUGGCCGCACAUACAGAGUUAGCAAUUUCACCCAAACUUUGAUGUUUAAUGAGCCAGAGGGGUGGUCUUUGUUCGGUAGUUCCAUCUACCGAAUGCAAUAGGCAGAAAGGGAGAUAAAAAGGGAAUGCAAUGGGUAAAUAACAUAGGAAACAGGGGGUUUCUUCACAAUAAUCAAUAGGAUAAAUUCAAUAUUAUAGUCUAGAAUUCUAAAAUAAAAUAAAAAAUCAUAUUAAAUCUAACUCCCUUUUAAUUCACAAACACCAUAUUGUUAAUGUUCUCUGCUGGUGCAAAGAGCAUUAUUUACUUCUAUGAUAACAGAUUUUAACUCUUUAGUGUAACAAAUCUGAAAGAUGUCUAAGACCCAGUUGAGAUGCUAGGCACAGAAUAAAUGUAUCCUAUCAAGGCAGAAAUGCUUCCUUGCAAAGAAUUUUUUAUUACACUUCAUAUAUAAUGAAUAACAUGACAAGUGUCAAACACAAAUUACAUUUCCGAGCUAAAGAAAGCAAGCUGCUUCAUUUCAUUGUGACCAUGGUAGCAAGCUGUAAGGAAUUAAUUGCUUAAUCUACUAACACAGAUUGUGAACAUUGUAUCACAUAUAUUGAGCUAUCAAUGCCAAUUAUAUACUGGUCUGCAGCACAAUAAUAAAGUACACAGCCCACCUUCUCCUGGAGCAAAAGGUGAAAAGGUCUUUUUUUCCACUGCUCUAUUCAAAAUAAUAUAUGAAUUAUUAUGUUUUAUGUUACACAGAAGAGCUAGAGAAGUUUGUUGGAAGUAUAUGUUUUUAUAUAAUGUGACAAUAUAAUCUAUCUCAAGUUGAUUAGUGUUAUUAGCAUUGCUUCUCUGAACAGUCCUAUUUUUAUGUUAGUUUGCAAGCAACCAAGCUGGAUUUCCAAAACUCCUUACAAAGACAGAGUUUACAUGUUUCUUGAGUUUAAAUAGUGAUCGAUCCAUUUCUAACAGUUUUCAGCAAAGAUAAUAAAAUGGUCCUAUAUCAUGGAAGUCACUAGAGAAAUUGUGAUGGGGAAGCUCAGUUCCUACAAAUACCAUCAUCAAGGGGCAUUACUAGGGUCAAAAAACACCCAGGGCUUUAGCCAAAGAAUUAUUUGUUUAGCCCACUGUAACGGAUCACCUGGCACCUCGACUGGGUACCUCCGUUGAUAGAUGCUCCUAGCGCUUCUUGAGGAUUCCAAGCACUCUAGCCGACACCACAAACACCGCAGGCCAAACCUCUCUUCCUUCAGAGCGAAGCAGGAACGAGAUCUUAAAAGAGCUUAGGAGUGAUUAUAGCAAGGGAAUAUGCAUAGCAUAGCAAUCCCUUGUAGCAGAUUCCCUCAAAAAGAGACAGGACUCCAAAUUGAGGGUGAAGUAGAACUGUCUAAAACUUUAUUUUACUUGGGACUAGCCCAUAUGGUCAUUACAUUAAAAUUGCUGUGAAAACUCAAUAAAAUUACAAACAGUCAAAUCAUAGCAGGCAACAUACAGUGACUUAUUAUAACAUAAUUACAUAUUUAUAAUUGGGUGGGGAAGAUCAUAAUUAACACAAAAUGUCUCUCCUGCAUGCAGAAUUAGCAAUAUGCAAAUCUACCCGAAUAUGCAAAUUACCAGUCUUGCUAUUCAAGUAGUGCAUAUUACUGUUGCUACCAACAGAGGGCACUACACAAGCUCCAUAGUCAAAUCCACCUAGUUGGUAGCAAUCCUCAGCAGUACAGGAGAGCAGUCAAUACAUCCCAGGGGCCAUAGUCACAUGGCAGGAGGCUGGCAAUCAGUCUUCUCCAAUGCCCAGUGGCGAGGCUGGUUCCACCACACCCACCUUCUAAACCCCCGAUUCCCACCGCUUCUCUCUGACACACACACUCUCUCUCUCUCUGCCCUAUGAAUUCAUAUGUGAAAAGUACAUUUGAAGUAUAUUCCUAUUGAUAUUUUAAUUUUUUUAGUUCACCUAGGUGACUAGAAAACGGAAAUUGUUUAACCAUAACUUCCUGUUUCAUCGGGGUAUAAAUAAGAGGCAACAUAUUGGCCAAAUUCCCUUAGUCAUUCAUCACAAUGGUUAAGACCAAGGAAUGUAACUGAUGUUUGGCAAAUGGUUGCUAGGCUUCACAAAAUGGGAAGUGGCUAUCAGAAAGCCACUUGUUUGAAAUUGUUUGAUAUCCAUGAGAGAGGAGAAUUUUACCACAUGACAGGAGGCUUCAUAUUUUGCAUAAACUUCCUUUACUUACUCCAUAGCAGUAAAGAAUAGAAAAAACUAAAACCAGAUGUAAGGAUAAGAAAUAAGAUCAGAUGUAAGGAUAACAUUUAAGAAGCCUCUCUCCUAAAGGCACUUCCUCUUUCUUUGCUGCUCCAUCACAAGUCGGGUCAGAGUAUUUUGUUCUUACAUUAUCUUUGACUUGGUUAUUGUAUUUCAUAAUUUUAUUCUAUUAUUAUUUAAUCUCUAUAUUACUUUUAGCUAUAAUGUUUUUCUGUAAUAACUAUCUAAUUUGGGGCCUUAGAGAAAUUGGGUUUGGGGAUUAUCCAGCCCAUGGUGCCUUGGGGGUUCACCAGUCACCUUCAGGUGUCUCUCCCCUCCCCCCCUUUUCUUUUGCUUGGGUCACCCUCCUUCCCUUCCUGCCCCCCUUCUUUGUUACCCUUAGGUUAAACCCACCCAUCACUCGGAGACCGGCUUAUUAAACAGUCACCACCGAGUGACGGGAAUACUACCUUUCGUGGAUACGUUCGCCACUCCUUUCCUGAUGCUUUUGUGAAGUUGAAUGCUGAUACAGCAUAAAACUCUGUGUUCGCGCACAAUCCUAAUUCGCAUUUAUGACUUUAUUCGCUAGCCGAAUGCAACUUUGUUUGCAUAAGGCUUAGUUUCCUUUUGGGUUGCUUGGUUGGCCACGUUCACGUCUGGCGUUUGGCAGUUUCGACUCCAUUUGCAUUCUUCCACCGAAUGUUCGGUACCUGAUUCCUACGUUUUUUUUUUCAUUUGUAUGUGUGUUAGAACCAUUCGCAUAUUUUGUUAGUGUUCGGUUCUUUUCAUUCCCGCACUAACAUUUUGCGGGCUUUCCGGUGGCCAUCUUGGAUCUGAUAUUGCGAGAUCUUAGACGGCCAUUUUUUUGUAUGGAGUUUCUCUAGUAUUGUGUUACGACGUUUUGUUUUUUUUGCAGCUCCUGCACUUUACAGUGAUUACCGUGAACCUGUUAUUUCAACUGCUUCAGUUAUCAGCCUCUUGUCAACAUACUGCCUCCAGGGACCAGUUAAGGUUGGUGAUAACUACCUUUGGGUGUGGGACGGUCAGUUAGGUUAUAAUACCCAGUAACACGGUCUGUGGUGAGCCCUCAUAUUUAGUGCUGCCGAACAGGAAUUGUCUAUGCAAUUUCCCUCUUAUCUGGGUGAGCCCCUGAGUGUCACAUACUAGGCCUGUAUACAUAUUUGGCUGACUAGUGCCGUGGUGUCCCCCGUACCGGUCCCUAAGCCUUAUCUGCCUACCGUGUUUCUCCGAAAAUAAGACCGGUCUUAUAUUAAUUUUAGUCACAAAAAACACACUAGGGCUUAUUUUCAGGGUAGGGCUUAGAGCCAGUCUGUCAGCCGGUGUCCGCGCUGUGUAACCCCCCAGAGACCCUCACCUCCCUCCCUCCCUCCCUGUAAUAUUCUCCCCCUCCCUCCCUGUAAUACUCUCCCCCCUCCCUCCCUGUAUUCUCCCCCCUCCUCUAAUAUUCUCCCCGCCUCCCUCCCCAACCUUCGCCUCCUCCUGUCUUCUCCCCUCCCUCCCUCCCUGUAAUAUUCUCCUCCUCCUGUAAUAUUCUCCCCUGCCUCCCCUCCUGUAAUAUUCUCCUCCUCCCUCCCUCCUGUGUGUCUCCUCCUCCUGUAAUAUUCCCCUCCCUCCCUCCUGGCAAUACUCCCCUCUCCCCUCCCUCCAAACCUCUCCCCCCUCUCUCCCUCCUCAACCACUCUCCCCCCCUCCAAUACUCUCCCUCUCCCUCCUGUAAUAUUCUCUCCCCCCUCCCUCCCUGUAAUAUUAUCCCCCCAUCCCUCCCUGUAAUACUCUCCCUCCCUGUAAUAUUCUCCCCCUCCCUGUAAUACUCCCCCUUCUCCCCCCUCCAAUCUUCUCCUCACCUGCUCUUCCCUGUAGCGUGGCCGAGCUCCUCUCCGGUCUGCAACCCGGCCGGACUGACAGGAAGUGCACACCCAGUGUGCACUUCCUGUCAGUCCGGCCGGGUCGCAGACCAGAGAGGAGCUCGGCCACGCUACAGGGAAGGGGAGGUGAGUCAGUGCGGCAGCCGUCUGAGAGCUCUCUAUAGAGAGCUCAGUCGGCUGUGGCAUUUAAAGGGCCGGCAGCCGCCGGCCCUGCCUAGGUCUUAUUUUCGGGGUAGGGCUUAUAUUGCAGCCCACCCCGAUAAUCCAGCUAGGGCUUAUUUUCGGGGUAGGGUGUAUUUUCGGGAAAACAGGGUAGUAAUACACUCAGUAUAUAGGAUAUAAUGAUAUAGUAAUACACUCAGUAUAUAGGAUAUAAUGAUAUAGUAAUACACUCAGUAUAUAGGAUAUAAUGAUAUAGUAAUACACUCAGUAUAUAGGAUAUAAUGAUAUAGUAAUACACUCAGUAUAUAGGAUAUAAUGAUAUAGUAAUACACUCAGUAUAUAGGAUAUAAUGAUAAAGUAAUACACUCAGUAUAUAGGAUAUAAUGAUAUAGUAAUACACUCAGUAUAUAGGAUAUAAUGAUAUAGUAAUACACUCAGUAUAUAGGAUAUAAUGAUAUAGUAAUACACUCAGUGUAUAGGAUAUAAUGAUAUAGUAAUACACUCAGUAUAUAGGAUAUAAUGAUAUAUUAAUACACUCAGUAUAUAGGAUAUAAUGAUAUAUUAAUACACUCAGUAUAUAGGAUAUAAUGAUAUAUUAAUACACUCAGUAUAUAGGAUAUAAUGAUAUAUUAAUACACUCAGUAUAUAGGAUAUAAUGAUAUAGUAAUACACUCAGUAUAUAGGAUAUAAUGAUAUAGUAAUACACUCAGUAUAUAGGAUAUAAUGAUAUAUUAAUACACUCAGUAUAUAGGAUAUAAUGAUAUAGUAAUACACUCAGUAUAUAGGAUAUAAUGAUAUAGUAAUACACUCAGUAUAUAGGAUAUAAUGAUAUAGUAAUACACUCAGUAUAUAGGAUAUAAUGAUAUAUUAAUACACUCAGUAUAUAGGAUAUAAUGAUAUAUUAAUACACUCAGUAUAUAGGAUAUAAUGAUAUAUUAAUACACUCAGUAUAUAGGAUAUAAUGAUAUAUUAAUACACUCAGUAUAUAGGAUAUAAUGAUAUAUUAAUACACUCAGUAUAUAGGAUAUAAUGAUACAGUAAUACACUCAGUAUAUAGGAUAUAAUGAUAUAUUAUUACACUCAGUAUAUAGGAUAUAAUGAUAUAUUAAUACACUCAGUAUAUAGGAUAUAAUGAUAUAUUAAUACACUCAGUAUAUAGGAUAUAAUGAUAUAGUAAUACACUCAGUAUAUAGGAUAUAAUGAUAUAUUAAUACACUCAGUAUAUAGGAUAUAAUGAUAUAUUAAUACACUCAGUAUAUAGGAUAUAAUGAUAUAUUAAUACACUCAGUAUAUAGGAUAUAAUGAUAUAGUAAUACACUCAGUAUAUAGGAUAUAAUGAUAUAUUAAUACACUCAGUAUAUAGGAUAUAAUGAUAUAUUAAUACACUCAGUAUAUAGGAUAUAAUGAUAUAUAAUACACUCAGUAUAUAGGAUAUAAUGAUAUAUUAAUACACUCAGUGUAUAGGAUAUAAUGAUAUAUUAAUACACUCAGUAUAUAGGAUAUAAUGAUAUAUUAAUACAGUCAGUAUAUAGGAUAUAAUGAUACAGUAAUACACUCAGUGUAUAGGAUAUAAUGAUAUAUUAAUACACUCAGUAUAUAGGAUAUAAUGAUAUAUUAAUACAGUCAGUAUAUAGGAUAUAAUGAUAUAUUAAUACACUCAGUAUAUAGGAUAUAAUGAUAUAGUAAUACACUCAGUGUAUAGGAUAUAAUGAUAUAUUAAUACACUCAGUAUAUAGGAUAUAAUGAUAUAUUAAUACAGUCAGUAUAUAGGAUAUAAUGAUACAGUAAUACACUCAGUGUAUAGGAUAUAAUGAUAUAUUAAUACACUCAGUAUAUAGGAUAUAAUGAUAUAUUAAUACAGUCAGUAUAUAGGAUAUAAUGAUAUAUUAAUACACUCAGUAUAUAGGAUAUAAUGAUAUAUUAAUACAGUCAGUAUAUAGGAUAUAAUGAUAUAUUAAUACACUCAGUAUAUAGGAUAUAAUGAUAUAGUAAUACACUCAGUAUAUAGGAUAUAAUGAUAUAUUAAUACACUCAGUAUAUAGGAUAUAAUGAUAUAGUAAUACACUCAGUAUAUAGGAUAUAAUGAUAUAUUAAUACACUCAGUAUAUAGGAUAUAAUGAUACAGUAAUACACUCAGUGUAUAGGAUAUAAUGAUAUAGUAAUACACUCAGUAUAUAGGAUAUAAUGAUAUAGUAAUACACUCAGUAUAUAGGAUAUAAUGAUAUAGUAAUACACUCAGUAUAUAGGAUAUAAUGAUAUAUUAAUACACUCAGUAUAUAGGAUAUAAUGAUACAGUAAUACACUCAGUAUAUAGGAUAUAAUGAUAUAUUAUUACACUCAGUAUAUAGGAUAUAAUGAUACAGUAAUACACUCAGUAUAUAGGAUAUAAUGAUAUAGUAAUACACUCAGUAUAUAGGAUAUAAUGAUAUAGUAAUACACUCAGUAUAUAGGAUAUAAUGAUAUAUUAAUACACUCAGUAUAUAGGAUAUAAUGAUAUAUUAAUACACUCAGUAUAUAGGAUAUAAUGAUAUAGUAAUACACUCAGUAUAUAGGAUAUAAUGAUAUAGUAAUACACUCAGUAUAUAGGAUAUAAUGAUAUAUUAAUACACUCAGUAUAUAGGAUAUAAUGAUAUAUUAAUACACUCAGUAUAUAGGAUAUAAUGAUAUAGUAAUACACUCAGUAUAUAGGAUAUAAUGAUAUAGUAAUACACUCAGUAUAUAGGAUAUAAUGAUAUAUUAAUACACUCAGUGUAUAGGAUAUAAUGAUAUAUUAAUACACUCAGUAUAUAGGAUAUAAUGAUAUAUUAAUACAGUCAGUAUAUAGGAUAUAAUNNNNNNNNNNNNNNNNNNNNNNNNNNNNNNNNNNNNNNNNNNNNNNNNNNNNNNNNNNNNNNNNNNNNNNNNNNNNNNNNNNNNNNNNNNNNNNNNNNNNCCUCCCUGUAAUACUUCCCCCCUCCAAUCUUCUCCUCACCUGCUCUCCCUGUAGCGUGUGCACUCCUCAGUCCGGCCCGCGGACCGGAGAGGAGCUCGGCCACGCUACAGGGAAGGGGAGGUGAGGCAGUGCGGCAGCCGUCUGAGCGCUCUCUAUAGAGCGUUCAGUCGGCUGUGGCAUUUAAAGGGCCGGUCCUGCCUAGGUCUUAUUUUCGGGGUAGGGCUUAUAUUGCAGCCCACCCCGAUAAUCCAGCUAGGGCUUAUUUUCGGGGUAGGUCUUAUUUUCGGGAAAACACGGUACCUAUAUUAGCCGAUCCAUAUAAUUUUUCCACUAUAUUUGGGUGAGCCCCAAUUUACAAAGGUAUCUAAUGAAACAUAACAUGAAGGAUCCACAGUUUCCCAAUGACUUGCAAGCCCUAAUUAAUGCUGCUAUUACCGCUACACUAGAAAAAGCCUUGGCCAAGGCCUUGAAACAGUCAUCCAAAUGCGCUUAAUAUAAAGAGGCGUCGGAAGAUUCAGAUUCCUCAAAGGAACAACCCUGCCCAGCUAAACACCACUGGAAGGGUGAGGGAUCUUAGAUGGGCCCAUCUAAGUGCAAAGCCCUAUUGAAACGUGAGAAACAAGCAUGUUCAAUACCCCAACCAAUACUUGACCUUUCCUCGAACGAAGAACAGGACGUACCUCCUUCCCUUUCCAUUCUAGACUAAUGGCAGGUGGAUGCUUUUGACACGGAAGAAAAUUUAUGGGAACCAAACUCAUAUAUUAGUGAAACAUUUCUAGGUGAGCCUCAGGCAUUGGAGGGUACGUAUCCUUCGGUUGCCACCGGACAACCUGAUGAGAUAUUCCUUGACACUACAGGGCAACUUAUUUUUGACCCUAGGAACAUAUGACACCCCCGCUCCGAGGACUGGACACCCCAGAACACCUGAUGCAUUUCAUGCACUUCUGGUUCAGAAAAUCACUGGACAAGAAGGUACGGAAAAGGCUGCGUUCCGAAUGCCUCAGUCCCUUUCUCCCGGAUAAAGUGGCAUUUACACCAGAUUUUGAACAGGCAAACAUUUUGGUGAGGCAUUCCUAAAAGAACUGAACAAACAUAUUAAUAUUUUUACAUCAUUAAACAAAAAACCCAAAGGGGUGUUUUUGGUAGGGCUGGUCGGCAACGCGGCUGUGCCACAAGCCGUUUCUGGCCAUCAGGUCCCCGCACAGCACGAGCACAACCUUUCUACCCAGAAGUGGGUGGCCGCCAGCCAUUCCAUUAUUCAAGAGGCUUGGAAAGAGGCCGUGGCGGUCGUGGAAGAGCUAGAGCACGAUUCUCCACAGGUAAGGCAACCUUAUCCGCAUGCUUGUCCUCUUGUAUAAACCAAGUCUCCCUCCGCAGGUCACCUAACCCUUUUUUUCCAGAAAUGGGAAAAGUAGUCUUCAGGUGCAUGGGUCUUACAAACUGUACGCGGAUUCCAUAUAGAAUUAGAAACAAUCCCACAUUAAACAACCCCUCCCAGACCACUAACCUCCUCGGCUGAAGACACGUGACUCAUCGACCAAGAGUUACACGACAUACAGAAGAAAGCUGCCAUUCAACCAGUCACUGAACAGGGAGGGUUUUCCGCAAUAUAUUCCUGGUGCGAAAAAAGACAGGGGAUUUCCACCCGGUCAUCAAUUUACGGGAUCUCAACGCAAACGUAAUUUACCGACAUUUCAAAAUGGAAGGUAUCCACCUGCUACAGGAUCUUCUCCAAGAUGGAGACUCAAGGACACCUACCUCACAGUACCGAUGCACAUGGGCAGCCGUCCUUUCUUUAGAUUUCUAUGGAACGGAAACCCGUGGCACUGCCUCCCGUUUGGCCUCAGUUUGUCACUGUGGUGUUUCACAAAGAUCCUGGAAAAUAGUGGUGGCCCACCUCCAAAAGAAAGGAAUAAGAUGUAUAAUCUUUUUGGAUGACAUUCUGCUUUUUGGUCAAGUCCACACACAAUUACUAGUACAUACAACAUACACAGAGAAAUUCCUAGAAUCCCUGGGCUUCACAAUCAAUCCAGAAAAAUCAGCACUGACCCCCUCUCAAUUUGUUCAGUUCCUAGGGUUCGAAAUAGACUCUCAAUCCUGUACGCUCAGAGACAAUGUCUCUGUAGUCCGCUACAUCAACCAUCUGGGCGGUAUAUGUUCACAGACACUGACAGAACUCACGAAGGAGAUAUUUGACUAUUGCCUUCCAUGAAAUAUAACAUUGUUGGCAGAAUACCUCCCAGGGGAAACACACCUCACAGCAGAUUGGUUCUCUUGCCACUGGCGAGACAGCGAUUGGCAACUGGAACCCUGAAUAUUUGCAAACCUGCACGCGUACAGGGGACCAUUGACAUUAGACCUCUUCGCAUCCCGCACCUACCAUCAACUACCAGACCCGGAGAGCGCAGCGGUGGAUGAAUUCCUACACACAUGGCUGCACCAAGGAGCCUAUGCCUGCAAAAAGUGAAGAUGCUCUUCCUGGCGCUGUGGUGGCUGAGUCAACCUUGGUUUCCGGACCUCCUCGCCCUUUGCUGCGAACAUCAACUUCUCAUUCGGGACGAUCCUUGGUUACUCAGGGACCCAGGGGAAUCCCCGAUGUUACUAGAUGGACGUCUCUCAGUCUUUCAGGGUUGCCUGUAAUAUCGAAGAGUUAUCACCAACAGCUAGAGACCUCCUCUGAGACUUUUGGGCCCCAUGAACUAGACGAUGCUACCUCUCCGCAUGGCACUCCUGGGCCGAUUGGUGUGUGGGGCGGAAUCUCGAUUCCUUUACAGCCAAUGUUUCAUCAAUUUUGAACUUUCUAUCAUCACUCUUUUCAGAUGGCAAGUCCUAUCGUUCUAUUAACGUAGUCCGCUCAGCCAUCUCGGCCGCCCACGGGAAACCAGUGGGACAGGACCCGCUAAUUUGCCGCUUGCUAAGAGUUAUUCGACUUGGACUACCACCAUUGCCUAAAUACAAGACACUAUGGGAAAUCAACAUGGUUCUCCAGUUUUUAAAGGUUUGGCCUUCUAAUGACAGAUUAUCGCUGCAUCAAUUUACGGCCAAGAUGACGCUUCUUUUGGUCCUUGUUUCAUUCCAAUGGGUUUUGGAUGUACGCGCAUUUGCUUUCUCCUUUUCGGCAGAAGGCAUCACAUUCCGCAUUUCCCGGCGUACUAAAUCCACGUUGCUUUUUUACCCAUUUUUUUCCGUCUGAACCACAACUUUGGGUAGUUGCUACAUUAUGGGCAUAUGUGACAACAGCCAAUCUUCGCUCGUCAGCUGCACAACAAUUGCUUAUCUCCUAUGUCAGACCUCAUGCACCGGUUUCGGUCACUACUCUAUCGAGGUGGGUCCGUUGGUUACUUUCCCUGGUAAGGACUGACCCCUUGUUCGGAGCACACUCAGUUAGAGGUGCAGCAUCGUCAUCUGCCUUUACGGCGGAGGCCUCUUUGUCUGACAUCCUUCAGGCGGAGGAUUGGUCCUUAGAAACUACGUUUUUGACUUUCUACUUUCGCUCGCCUUAUCUCUUCUAGCAUCGAGUUAAAAUUGCAAAAUAUGAAGCCUCCAAUCAUGUAGUAAAAUUGAAGAUUAAGCUCGCUUAAGUGUACUGAUAAUCUUAAUUUUAAUAAUGACAGGAGGCAAAUAUUUCCCCUACCCUCCCUUUCUUAUAUCUUCUAUCUGGUUGUUUAAUGUGGGAAUGUUCUUUGAAUGUUUUGCAUGGAUACCUACUUUAGUUUUGUUGUCUACUUUAUUAAUUGUGAUGAAUCUUGUUUACUAGUCUAUACCUUGUUAUAAAAUGCUAAUCUACCUAGGUUAGGUAUUUUUGUAGUUUAAACAUUAAUAUGUUACUACUAAAGAUAGUGCAGUUAAGCAACUAGCAUUGUGAUGGUCAUGUGUGUUCACGUUUCAGUACUGUAUGAUUAAAACCUCUUACAUUCUUUCUCAGCAUAAUUUGAAGCAUCAAUUACUCCGGUGGAUUUCUGUACACGGAUGGGUUCGUCUCUGUUGACACCUGGAAUUUCCUCGUUCUACAGGAUAUCACAUGGACGCUCUUUCAACUUUUGUUACUACUGUUUAUCAUGUUUGUUAACCUGUGACGUCGCUUGGGCAAGAGGAAGUGCCUUAAGGGGAGGGCCUCCUGCCAUUACUAAAAUUAUGAUUAUCAGUACACUAAAGAUAGCAUAAUCUUCAAUUUUUGAAGGAUGAAAAAGUUAAACAAAUACAUUUUUUCACAGCCUUCUUUGCACAUAUUUAUUGUGGAGAACACAGUCUGUGUAGUAUAUUAUAAAUAUACAUAUACACACACACACACACAAAUAGCUCUGUACCUUGGAUGAGGACUAGAAUUACAAGCGAGAGCAAAGCGGGUGAAAGAGAACGUGAUCUGAGGUUAUAGGACCCAGCUUCAGUGUUUGAGACCCCCUUCCCCUCACCAAACCUCCAUCAAUGCCCUUGCCACAUCUGAUUUUAUUAUUAUUGGAAUUUUUUUUAGCGCCAGCUUAUUCCGCAGCGCUUUACUAACUAUAAGAUAAGACUAGGGACUAAUGAAAGUAUUUAGAAAAUUGGGCAGACUAGAUGGGCCGAAUGGUUCUUAUCCGCCGUCACAUUCUAUGUUUCUAACCAAAUGAGACAAUAAUAAAAUGUAACAGGAACAAUAGGUAGUUGAGGACCCUGCUCAAACAAGCUUGCAGUCUAGAGGAGGUGGGGUAUAAAAACACAAUAGGAAGGAUAUUGAGGAAGACAGCAAAUAGAUAUGGUGGGAAGGUAGCAGAACUGGAGGGGAGAGUGGAGUGUGGCCCUUUAGGAGAGAGCAAGAGGAAGGUUCGAGAGAUAGAAGUUAUUCUUGGAGGCCAUAAGUAUUCCUUAAAAGAUGGGUUUUAAAGGGACUUCUGAAAGGAUUGAAGACUAGAGAAGAGUCUGCCAGGGGUAGGCAAGCUGUUCCAAAGGAAAGGAGCCGCCUAUGAGAAGUCUUGCAGGUAUGAAUUUGCCGUAAGGGUGCGAGCAGCAGACAUGAGAUCACCAGUAGAGCGGAGGGACCGAGAGGGGGCAUACCUGUGAAUCAGUGAAGAAAUGUAAGAGGGGCUAGUGCUUUAUAGGUAAGGGUUAGUAUUUUAAAUUGACAGGUGUAGGGUACAGGAAGCCAGUGUAUGGAUUGACAGAGGGGUGAGGUAUGAGAUGAGCAACAGGAGAGAAAGAUCAGCCUGGCAGCAGCAUUUAUCACAAAUUGCAGGGGGCUGUACAGCUUCUGGGGGAGACCAAUUAGAAGAGAAUUAGAGAAUUACAGUAAUCCAUGCGAGAGAUUAGAACUAACUUAGUAUAAGACCCUAGUCUGAAAUUGGAGGUGCUAUUGCACUCUCCAUUUUUAGAUAUCAAAUACUGAGGAAGAAAUAUCAACAAUUGUAUAUGUCCCAAUAACCCAAAACGCUGUCUCUUGUAGAAGGAAGGAAUAUGGAAAGAUGUAAUUGCACUUAAUUCUUUUUUUUUUUUUCCUCCUUCUUCUUCUUCUUCUUCUUCUUCUUGUAGACCUUCUCAGUAUACCAAAGUGCUCUUGAGUGAAAUGUGAGGCCAUGUACGCAACAGGACAACGAUCCCAAGCACAGUAGCAAAUCUACAACAAAAUGGCUAAAAAUGAAAAGAAUCAAGGUGUUUCAAUAGCCCAGUUAAAGUCCAGACCUCAACCUGAUUGAAAUGCUGUGGAAGGUCUUAAGAGAGUUAUGCAUAAACAAAUGCCAGCAAACCUCAAUGAACUGAAGCAACAUUGUGGGAAAAAAAAACCCACAACAAUGUGAGAGAAAGUCAUACAGAAUAUGAUUUUGUCAAGUUAUUGCUGCUAAGGGUUGUUCUACAAGCUAUUGAGGUGUACUUAGUUUUUCC
rnacentral:lncRNA from 1 species